GACGAACGCUAGCGGCGUGCCUAAUACAUGCAAGUCGAACGCAGUGGGGACGGGUGAGUAACACGUGGGCAACCUCCCAUCAGAGGGGAUAACCCUUGGCAACAGGUGCUAAACCGAUACUGAUGGAUGGACCCGCGGUGCAUUAGCUAGUUGGCGGGGUAACGGCUCACCAAGGCCACGAUGCGUAGCCGGCUUGAGAGGAGGAUCGGCCACACUGGGACUGAGAAACGGCCCAGACUCCUACGGGAGGCAGCAGUAGGGAAUUUUCGGCAAUGGGGGCAAGCCUGAUGCAGCCAUGCCGCGUGUAUGAAGAAGGCCUUAGGGUUGUAAAGUACUUUCGGCGGGGAGGCGUUACCCGCAGAAUAAGCACCGGCUAACUCCGUGCCAGCAGCCGCGGUAAUUC
rnacentral:rRNA from 1 species